GGGCCUGUAGCUCAGUUGGUUAGAGUGUUGCUAUGGCAUAGCAAAGGUCAGGGGUUCGAAUCCCCUCAGGUCCACCA
rnacentral:tRNA from 1 species